CGGGGCGGUGCAUGCUGGGAGGGAAGAGGAGGCUGAGGAGAGCCAGCGCCCUGCGGGAGUUGCACGCCGGGGUCCCUGGGCUCCGUGUUCCCGGAGGGCUCUGAUUGGGGGAAGGGGUAAUGGAGGGAGCCUUAAAGGGGCGACGCUGGGUCGAUGAGGUCACUUGGAAUCGGCCUUUGGGCCCCGCGCCAACCUGGGUCGCGGCAGCGCGGAUCUCCGCCCCACCAGGUGUCAGUAGUUGCGUCCAGCCGGCCGCGCCCUGGGGCCGGGACCCGAGGGACCUGAUGGUGGGAGCUGCCCGCAGGCUCCUCGGCCCCGCCGGCCGCCCCGGGAAGGCCCCCUGCUGCGCGGGCCGGGGGGGGGGGGGGCUCUAACCUUUUCCAAGGAGGGGUCCGGGGGAGUCCAGGGGACUGACACAGUCCCCGGAGAAUUAAGGGUCUUGGUCUCAGCAUCAAAAUGAAUUUUCUGAAGCAAUUUCCUGCCUCUAAAUUAAAGUGUAACCCGUCGUUUAACAGGGGCAGAGAAGGAAGUGAAAGGGCUGGGAAUGGAAUGACAUUUUUCCCCUGGGUAGACAGACCCACUGCGAAAUUCUUCCACUGUGUUGUUUAUGUUCCCCAUCUUGCCUUUAAAAGACUCGAAAUUAUCUGGAUCUGACAUCCUCCUUUUCGGGCCUGCUGAGUCACGGAAUAUUCUCCGUGCCAGAAUGACUCAGUUCACAGAACCUGAGCCAGAAGAUCAUGAGUUUUAGUCUCAGAUCAGAACCUCUGGGCACUUACCCAGUGCUGAUACGACAAGCAAGGAUCGGGAAAGCAGGGUGCUGUGAAACUGGACGGCCCUGGAUCGGUGGUUUUAAACAUUUGGAGUCUCUAGGCAAAGUGGAUGCAACUACUGGGUGCUCAUGAGACAGAUUUUUUUUUUUAACUUUUCCAAAUCUUAAAGUGAAAAUAAUCAAUACAUGCCCCCCCGAAAAAAACCCAACCCCACAAAAAGAAACAAAAAACCCCAUACCUGGGUUUGGAUUCAGUAGUUCCGUUUAGAGAGUGGGGAUCUGAAAUAAUGAACUAAGUGAAUGUUAGGUUACUAUGGCUGGGGUCAGUGUUAGCUCCAGAAGGACUUUAAGGAUAAUGGUCUGGGGGGGGGGGGUGUGCCAAAAUGCUGAGUUUGCUUAGCAGGUGCACGGAUCACUUGUUCAUUUAUUUGAUGAGAUGGGUGAAGAUGAUGCAUGACUAACUUUGGCACCUCCACUUUGGAAGAAGAAAGUUGUGGGACUGUGGGUAACAGUAUUUUAAUUUUUUCGUAUUUGAGUUGAAGCAAAAUAAAUAUAUUCAUUUAUACCUAGAGAGGAUGAUAUUUUUUUUCUCAGUCUUUCAUUGUACUUGAGAACAAAGGCAUAUAGGAUGAAGAUAAGAAUGUUAGUUGUAAAUAAAACUACAGAUAUUUUUAAUAAAUAUAUUUAAGUAAACAUAUUAAUGCAUUUGCCCUUAGAAAUUUUCUUAGAUAUUGGCAAACCAAGUGGUGGAGCUCCUUUUGUUUUCUACCAAGUCAAAACAGAGAAAGGGUUGGGGGGAGUCAGGGGAGGCAAAUGGAGAGGGAGAGAGAAUCCUAAGUCCAUCAGGAAGCUCAACGUGGGGCUCGAUCUCACAACCCCAAGAUCAUGACCUGAGCGAACUCAAGAGCUUAACCGACUGAGCCACCCAUGCACUCCAAGUGCAAUAACUCUGAAGCUGGAGAUAUUAACUAUGUGGAGUUGACGAAACUAAGACUUGAAGAGAUUAAGUGAUCUCUAGCAAGCAGCAAGAUCAAGACUGGAGCCUGCAUUUUCUGGUUCCCCAUCCAGUGCUGUUUCCUUUUCUGCUGUGUAAAGGUCAUGGUCGAGUGUAAAGAAGAGCUGCCUCAAACUUCCAAGGUUUUCAGGUUAUCAAAUAGGAAUUCUAACUUAGAUGAAAAUUAAUGUGAUACUGGAAGAGAAUUAACAAUAUCCCUCUUCAAAGUUACACUAACUACACACGAUCCUUUGUGUUGGGUUUAUAGAUCCUUCCUGGGUCCUUGGUACAAGUCCAAGCAUAACAAGAUAACAUAUCUUUUGUGGCCAUGUUCAGGUAAAGACAGGAUUCCUCUUGUAUGAGGUAAAUCCCUUCCUUCCCACCCAGUUCCAUGUACCCAAUUUAAACCAUCUUUAUAUUAUGAUGCUAGUUUAAAAAGUAAGAGGAAAGGACACAUAUCAUAAUUCAUAAAAUUUAAAAUCGAACUUUAUUACAAAGACAAUAAAAAGGGAAAUAUUUCCCAAAAUGAGGAGCAAAGCCCAAUCCCUCCCAACCCAAAAUCUUCCCAUCACAGGAAUAAAGAACUUCACAUCUCAAAAAUUUUAUUAUUCUACUAAUCAGAUGUGGACUACAUCCCACCAUAUAGAACAGAAAGAUAAAUAAUCUUUUACAUGCAGAUGACAUGGUUUUAUUAUGGGAAUUCAGAAUAUCCUUAAUAAGUUGUUGACCUUGACUGGUUAAAUACUGUCAGAAAGGGUACAGCAUUGACUGUAGUUAAUCAUAUUGUAUCACAUAUUUGAAAGUUGCUAGGAGAGUAGGUCUUAAAAGUUCUCAUCACAAGGAAAAAAAGUUAACUAUGAAUGGUGAUGGAUGUUAACCAGAUUUAUUGUGGUGACCAGUUGGCAGUAUAUCUGAAUAUCAAAUCAUUAUGUUGUACACCUGAAACUAAUAUAAUGUUAUAGUCAAUUAUACCGCAAUUUUAAAAAAUCAACUCUAAAAGAAAAAGAAAGGAUAUUUCUUUCAAAACCAAAGUUAUUAUUAGUAGUUUUCUCCCAACAUCUGAUUGCCUUGUAGUUCAUUACCUUAUUCAACUACUUAGAUAUAUAUUGCAAUAGUUGUUUGUUUGUUUUUUUUGGAGGAUGUGCCUGAAAAUUAUAUUGUUUAAAAUUAGAAGUUCACACCUUUUUGAGCAAGAUUUUUUUAAAAAGGAUUUUAUUUAUUUAUUUGUCAGCGAGAGAGAGAGAACACAAGCAGGAGGAGCAGCAGGCAGAGGGAGAAGCAGGCUCCCCACCAAGCAAGGAGUCCGAUACAGGACGUCAUCCCAGGACUCUUGGAUCAUGACCUCAGCCGAAGGCAGAUGCUUAACCAACUGAGCCACCCAGGCAACUGGAGCAAGAUUUUGGGGCGGGGGGGGCUGUUGUAAUACAGCUUUACAAUUUUUUCUGGUUGUAAUUGUUGUGGUCCUGGCCCAGAACUCAAGCGCCUCCAUCUCCAGUUUAUAUAUGUAUUUGAACAAACAAUAAAUUAAUUUUCCUCCCACACAAAUUUUAUUUAUCAUAACAACCAAAUUAAAAGCAAGAUUUUUAAAAAAUUCACUCAUAAUUCUGCUAUGCUAAAGUGACUGUCAUCUAUCAGAAUUCCUUCUCCUAGCCCCUAUCAUUCUACUGUUCUAACAGACCUCCUUUACUGAAGUACAAUCUACAUAUCAAAAACAAUGCACAAAUUCCAAGGGCUCAUAUCACAAAGUGCAAGCACUUCCAUAAUUACUACUCAGGUCCAGAAACAGAAUAUUGCCCUAACCCAAAAGCCCUAUCAUGUCCCUCAACAAUCAGGACCCCUCCUUCUCCCCAUAUGUGACAUCUAUCCUUACUUCUGUCUCCUACAGAUCAGAUUAGUUUUGCUCAUUUAUGAAUGCUAUUUAAAUGAAAUCACACAGUUUGUAUUUGUGUGCGGAUGGCAUCUUUUGAUCAAUAUUAUGUUUUUGAUAUGCAUCUGUAGUGGUGUAUGUAGCAAUAGUUCAUUAUUUUUCUUUAUUGCAUGGUAUUCUAGUAUAUAAAUAAA